rnacentral:lncRNA from 1 species
GUUGACCAGUGGUUGACCAGCAGUUCAUCUGAUGUUGACCAAUGGUUGCUCAUGAGGUAGCAGUGUGCCCUGGUGGCCAAAAAGAGCAAUGGUUGCCCAGUAGUUGACCAGCAGUUCAUCUGUAGUGGCCAAAAAGUGCAAUGGUUGACCAAUGGUCAACCAACAGUUCAUCUGUAGUUGACCAAUGGUUGCUCACCAGGCAGCAGUAUGGCCUGGUGGCUAAAAAGACCCAUGGUUGACCAAUGGUUGACCAGCAGUUCAUCUGAUGUUGACCAAUGGUUGCUCAUGAGGCAGCACUGUGCCCUGGUGGCCAAAAAGACCCAUGGUUGACCAGUAGUUGACCAACAGUUCAUCUGUAGUGGCCAAAAAGAUCCAUGGUUGACCAAUGGUCAACCAACAGUUCAUCUGUAGUUGACCAAUGGUUGCCCACGAGGCAUCAGUGUGCCCUGGUGGCCAAAAAGACCCAUGGUUGACCAGUAGUUGACCAGCAGUUCAUCAGUAGUUGACCAACAGUUGCUCACGAGGCAGCAGUGUGCCCUGGUGGCCUAAAAGAGCAAUGGUUGACCAGUGGUUGACCUACAGUUCAUCAGGAGUUGACCAAUGGUUGCCCAUGAGCCAGCAGUGUGCUCUGGUGGCCAUGAAGGCCAAUGGCUCCCUGGGCUGCACGGCACAGAGCGUGGGCUGCAGGGUGAGAACGCUUCUCCUCCCCUCUGCUCUGCGCUGGGGGGGCCACAGCUGCAGCGCUGGGCUCCCCAGCUCUGAGCCAUGCAGAUCCUGCUGGAAGAUGCCUUAAGGCCCACGCAUGAUGAGCUGCACGUGAUGAGCAGCAGAGGAAGCACUGAGCGUUGCAGCUCAUCCUGCAGCAGCAGAGGAGGCACUGAGCGUUGCAGCUCAUCCUGCAGCAGCAGAGGAGGCACUGAGCGUUGCAGCUCAUCCUGCAGCAGCAGAGGAGGCACUGAGCGUUGCAGCUCAUCCUGCAGCAGCAGAGGAGGCACUGAGCGUUGCAGCUCAUCCUGCAGCAGCAGAGGAAGCACUGAGCGUUGCAGCUCAUCCUGCAGCAGCAGAGGAGGCACUGAGCGUUGCAGCUCAUCCUGCAGCAGCAGAGGAGGCACUGAGGGUUGCAGCACCUCUUGGAGCCCUGCGGCCGACGCGCAGCGUGUUGACGAGCCGUCCCUUUUGGGGACGAGAGCCGGGAUGCUGCCCUUCCCCUUCUGGCCAGGAGAUGUCCUGCUCGGCCUGCACAGCGUUCCUGCUGCUGCUGGGAACCGCUGCCGGCUGUGCCAGCUUGGUUUCCAUAGCUGUUGGCCCAGAUGCUCCCCGGGUGCGAUGCUUCCCCUCUGCUCCAGCCAGACCCCCCCCACGGUUAUGAGCCCUGCAUGCGUUGAGCAUCAGCCCCACGUUACUCCCAGCCCAGCGCCAACGGCGGGGCUGCCCUGAGUCAGCCAGCAAGCAGCUUUGGAGUAAUAAAUCCUUCCCAACCUGCGUUGUUUGACUCUCCGAGCAUCUCCUAACUCAUCUUCUCUCCUUUGCUUUCAG